ACCACGCGGGAGCCGCAGGGCCCGCCGCCCAGGCUGCAGGAGGGAUCAUGGGCGCAGUGGAGAACGAGGAAGAGGUGACCAAAUCCCCGGCUGAGGCUGGGCCGUGGCAGGUGGCAGAGGCGGCAGCGGCGGCAGCUGCCAGAAGAACCGGAAGUUCGUACAUCUCAGCAGCCACUGCUACUACUGACGCCCUGGGUUGCUAACAUGUAGAGGCAGGCGCUUUCAGUGACGUCAGGCCCGCACGACGGUCUGCGCACGCGCCUUGCCGGAAGCAGCGGGGACUGCUCAGCGGAUGGGUGACAAGUAAGAACGUAAACGAAGGAGUUUGUAAAGUGUGAAGCAACUCCUUGCGUGAGGGAACCGUGAGAGACCGGAAUCUUAUAAUUUGAGUUCCUUGGUGAAAACUGCAGAACCACAGCUAAUGAUUGCUGAAGAGAGGCUUGACACUUCCCUCAGCUCAGAAAACUUCUCAGGAAAACAUCAAAGAAGAAUUCAUAAGUCCUUGAAGACUAAACUAUAUCAUGGAUCCCAGCAGGAUAAAUGGGAACUUUGACAAGAAUGGAGAAUGUGGGACCUCAAAGGUAAGCUACUACAACUCUCCUCUUUGUGUAGCCUGUAUGCCCAAGAAUAUGUUAUGUCCUCAAACUGAAGAGCUUCGUUCAUCACACAUCUCAUCCCAGCCUAGGCCUAGGCUUAGUUCUGUGCAUGGUGCAUGGUGCAUGGUAAGUACUCAGUAAAUACUUGUAGAAUAAUUGAUAACACUCUAAGGAGAAAGAAAAGCCCUGCACGGUGGACCUGUGACUCAGAUACAGCUGUCAGGGAAGAAAAAUGAAGUGUGCUGGUUGCCAAAAACCAAGUUUGCUGAAAUAAAAGGAAGUGGCAGUCUGGUAGCUCCUAGUCA
rnacentral:lncRNA from 1 species